UGGUUUCUGACGAUAUAACGUUGUUUUUAUAUUUUACCCGCAGGAAAUCACAGAUGGCGCUGCAGGGUUAUCGAUGGGCCCGAAUAUUUUUAAUUAUUUUAUUUUCUUCAAAAAUUUGGUAUAUUAAAAUUAUCUGCAACAUUUAUUUUUGAUAUAUUAUAAUUAUAUUGUUUAAAUUUUGGGAUCAAACAAGUCGAUCGAUUGUUGUCGUUGAUUCGGCGAAUUUAUGGUUUGGUAGAUUUUUUCUAGUUUGGCAACUUUGUUCGUGGGUUUUGUGUCAGACUGACAGCUGGCUGAGCUGAGACAGGUUUUGGAAAGUGGGGACGUCGCGAGAGCGCCGGAGACUCCAUUGCCGAAACCCAAAUGUGGGCAAAUUAAAGCCACAAUGUAUUGGCGGCAUCAAGAGCCGAUGUAACCAUUUAUAUAAAUAACUUAACCGAGAUGCAACAUCACUGAAAUCCCAUCGCCUAAGGUCCAGUGGGUGGGAUUAGGUUUCAUCCGAGCGAUGCCCAACUAUCCCGGAUGAACCUAUGGGGUUUUAAUUGUUUUUAAAGUUUUAAAGGUUUAAAGUUUUGAGUUUUUUUAAAGUUUUGAGUUUUAAAAGUUUUUAAAGUUUUUUGUUUUGCUUUAAGUUUUUAACGUUUUGAAGUUUUAACGUUUUUGCAAGUUUUUAACGUCGAACGUUUUGCAAGUUUUAAUCUAAGAAGAAGUUUAUGAUUGGAUCAGACUAUUUCAACAAAUUUUGUGAAUGAAGAUUGCUACUGUUUUCUUCUGCGUUUGCAAGUUAUUUCAAGCUUCAUUUCGGCGGAGCUUGCCUUGGUUGUUUGCACGACGAAGCUUUCCUUUGUGCGGCGCGCAUGUGGAUGUGCCGCGCCUCUCCUUUUGUCAACACACCGGAUAAGGCCCGGUGAAGGUCUGCGAGGUUGACCGGUGGACGUGCAGCCCGCCAGCUGCGUAACAGUUGGCCCGCUGCGCCGCCAUCGUCCAGCACGCCCUGGCCUGAGCCGGCCUCAACUCAUCACCUGUACAGUAUUCCGGAACGCCUCAGGUAGGCCUGAUAGUCGGAGGUCCUCGAGUAAGUGAGGUGCCUACAGGUGUACGGACAGUGUUUUUAAAUAUAGUGAUAUCCCAUGGUUGUUACGGAGUGACAAUUAACCUGACGGACCAAAGCGCGACCUGUCUCCCUCCAUAGGGUUUUUGACCUACCUAUGGUUAAUGAAAUUUGUAGAUUUAAAAAAUAUACAUUGUACAAAUUCAA
rnacentral:lncRNA from 1 species